UACGGGGGGAGCAAGCGUUGUUCGGAUUUACUGGGCGUAAAGGGCGCGUAGGCGGCCACCGCAAGUCAGUUGUGAAAUCUCUGGGCUUAACCCAGAACGGUCAGCUGAUACUGCGGGGCUAGAGUGCAGAAGGGGCAACUGGAAUUCUCGGUGUAGCGGUGAAAUGCGUAGAUAUCAAGUGGAACACCAGUGGCGAAGGCGAGUCCCUGGACAACACCUGACACUGAGGCACGAAAGCUAGGGGAGCAAACAGG
rnacentral:rRNA from 1 species